rnacentral:rRNA from 1 species
UACGUAGGCAGCAAGCGUUGUUCGGAAUUACUGGGCGUAAAGAGUGUGUAGGCGGUGCUCUAAGUCUGUUGUGAAAUCUCCCGGCUUAACUGGGAGGGUGCGGCGGAAACUGGAGUGCUUGAGGGUGGGAGAGGUAAGCGGAAUUCCUGGUGUAGCGGUGAAAUGCGUAGAUAUCUGCAGGAACACCCGUGGC